rnacentral:rRNA from 1 species
GGGUCAGUAGGUUGGUCGUGCCACCGGUACGUACUGGUCUCACCGAUUCCUCCUUCCUGAAGAACCGUAAUGCCAUUAAUUUGGUGUUGCGGGGAAACAGGACUGUUACUUUGAAAAAAUUAGAGUGUUUAAAGCAAGCUAACGCUUGAAUACAUUAGCAUGGAAUAGUGAAAUAGGACGAUCGAUCCUACUUUGUUGGUUUCUAGGAUUGACGUA